rnacentral:rRNA from 1 species
CUACGGGAGGCAGCAGUAAGGAAUAUUGCGCAAUGGACGAAAGUCUGACGCAGCGACGCCGCGCGGGGGAUGAAGGUCUUCGGAUUGUAAACCCCUUUCGGCAGGGAAGAUGGAAUGGGGUAACCCAUUCGGACGGUACCUGCAGAAGCAGCCACGGCUAACUUCGUGCCAGCAGCCGCGGUAAUACGAAGGUGGCAAGCGUUGUUCGGAUUCACUGGGCGUACAGGGAGCGUAGGCGGUUGGGUAAGCCCUCCGUGAAAUCUCCGGGCCUAACCCGGAAAGUGCAGCGGGGACUGCUCGGCUAGAGGAUGGGAGAAGAGCGCGGAAUUCCCGGUGUAGCGGUGAAAUGCGUAGAGAUCGGGAGGAAGGCCGGUGGCGAAGGCGGCGCUCUGGAACAUUUCUGACGCUGAGGCUCGAAAGCGUGGGGAGCAAACAGGAUUAGAUACCCUAGUAGUC